ACUAUAUAUAAGCAUUUCCUAUGUCUAGAAAUGUAAUUUCACCCACAGUUUUUAAGACGUCAUUCCAAACGUCAUCUUGCGUUUCCCUAAUUUUACACCCUCUCUCCCAAAUCUGCCCCCAUUAAGUGCAAUCUCAAUGUUUCCUUCAACCAAAACCUCCUUGUAAAUCGAAGAAGCAAAUGAAACGGUGGGAGCAAUAAGAAUUGAAUGUUAUUGAAUCGUUUGCCAUCUCCAUUUAUAGUUAUAUUGAAUGUCGAAUUUCAUGACUUCUUCAGUUGCGAAACCGUUGUAUAAAUCAAAUACCUCAAGGCUGAAACGAUUCCCGUCGCCGCCUAUAUCUGCGUCACCACACUCGAUUGUUUUUCUCUUCCUCCCAUCUCGAAUCUGUUGGCUGCUUCUUCCCUCAUUGUACUCACCGAAGAUAAAUUUUGUGCAAGAUCUAAACACGGACCCUAAGCUUGCAUCUGAAGAUAAUUAUGUUGAUGUUAUCACGAAUGUGGUGCGUGUUGUGCAUAGAUAUUCACAUAACCUUGAACCAGGCUAUGACUAAAUCGUAUUGCACUGCAGGUACCCACUAGCGAGAACGACUGGGACGAUGAAUAUGCAAUUAACAUUAUUACUCACUUUUGAAAUAUGCAAUUAUGUUAUAUGUAUAUGAACUAUAUUCAGGAACCCUGUGUAUCAUUUUAAAAGUUUCAGUUCAAAUUCAUGAUUUUGAAUGAAAAAACUAAAAAUAGGUUGUGUCGUUUCUCAUAUCAUUGACUAAGGUGAUCCACUAGCACAAAAUGAGUAAGCAAAUACAUGUACAUGCUACAUAGCAGGCGUUUUAGUUUUAGUUUGUGCCUUAAGAGAGAACUUUCAUUAGACCAAGAAUUGUGCUUACUCGACCCGAAACCCGUUCUUACCCGGACCCGUUCUGACCCAGACCCGCUCCGACUCGGAGCUGUUCUGACCCGGACCCGUUUCGACUAGCUCUCCAUUUUGGUGUAAAUGUCAACGUGAUUACUGGUAAUCAAUUAUCUUCUGAUUAUAUUGAAUAACUACUUUUAUUUUUAAUUUCUGUUUUCAUCUAAAUACGACUGUAUGCGAUCAACUUGCCAUUGCUAAGGAGAAUGAUAAACGACUCGGUAUUGGAACAAACAUGUACCCUUUCUCUUCUUUGCUUGGUGGCCACAACGAACGAUGCAUCAAUUGCAUUGCAACACUCCUUAUUGAAGAGUUGAUAGAGAAAGCUGAUGGAUUUUUUUUUCAGAACAUAAGUAUGAGAUUGUGAAUAAGUUACGAGAAACAAAACACAUUUGUGGGAUUACUGAAGAUGGUGUGAACGACGCCUCUGCUUUGAAGAAGGUCGGCAUUGGAAUUGUUGUUGCUGACGCUACAGAUGCUGCAAGGAGUGUUUCUGACAUUGUGCUUACCCAACCUGCCUGGGCUUAGUGUUAUUAUCAGUGCAAUGCUUACAAGUCGCACAAAACAGUCGUUGAUUCUAAAACGCUCCAAACUUGAUUCUAAAAUGUCACCAGACAGUCGUUGAUCCGACUUCCAAGUUUCAACAAGGAUACUAAGCCUUCUUCAAACCCAUCCAACGAAUCAAACUUCUGUUGUAGGGAGUAACUAAAUUAAUGGGUACGCCGGCAAUCCUAAAUUUGGGGCAACAAUGCUCCGUCGGGGAUUGUAAGCUCAUCGAUUUUCUUCCCUUCACCUGCGAUUGUUGCAAUAAGUCAAAACCGGAGCAUGAACACCCUUAAGUCUCAGAUUGACGCAUUUGUAGGUAAAGGGGUUGAACCUGACACCUCUAUGCUCAGAUUGAGUGGUCCGAGCCGUGGUCAGGGUGGGACCACCAGGACGAGCACGAGCACAGGCACGAGCAAUGGUGGUCAAGUGGAGGUGUGUCCAUCUUGUAAUGUGAAGUUUUCUAAGAUUGGAGAUUUGAUCACGUAGAGAAAGUUCAUGAGAAGAACGGUGUGAUGAAAGCGACGUUAGAUGUGUGCCCAAAAUGUAGCAAAGGGUUUUGUGACCCGGUCUCGCUUGUGGAGCAUGUCGAAAGAGAACAUCGUGGUACUUUUAAAGCUUUGACUCUUAACAGCGUUUCAUGGAUUGUUACACACUACAUUUUUUGAAAAUGUUUAGACUGAUCAAUUACACGUUUUUUAUGAAACAAGUCUCAUUUUCAUGUUGACUUAA